GAUUUUAUCGUAUUGUGGUUCGCACCUUAUCUGUCAAAUUUCAUGAUUAAAAGAUUUGAAAAAAUAUUUUUCUCCCAUACUACCAUACAUGUCCAUUAAAGAAUUAAAGAAGUAUCACUUCAGUUUACAAAAAAAAAAUGAAAAAAGAAAAAAGAGGACGUAGCUCAAUAGCUCAAACUUCACAGAAACUAUCCAAAGAAUACAUAUGAACCAAUCAUCCAAAAUUAUCAUCCCUUCGAGUCCCUUAUUUUUGAAAGCUCUGUUUUCAUUUAGUUGGUUUCCUGCUCAGUAGCUCACGCUCCACUGCCUCCACCAUUAUUGUCGACUCCUGCCCUCGCCCCCCCGUCCNNN
rnacentral:lncRNA from 1 species